rnacentral:rRNA from 1 species
AUGCUAAUGAAAGCUGCUGGCCAUAAGCUGAUUGAAGGCAUGUGCCCUGAGAUCUGCCCUGGGGGGAUUAUUUGUCUUCAAUAUGCUGAUGACACUAUCCUAUUCCUAGACAAGAACUUGGAGCACACUAAAAAUCUUAAGAUGGUGCUCUCUUGCUUUGAACAGAUCUCUGGCAUGAGGAUUAAUUAUAGCAAGAGUGAGCUCAUCCCUAUUAACUUGGAUGAUGGUGAAGUGGGUGAUUACUUAGACACCAUGGAGUGCUCUAGAGGUUCUUUCCCUAUUAAGUAUCUAGGAAUAGAUCUACACUAUGAUAAGCUUAGGAGAGAGGAUAUCCAACCA